CGAUAAUCGAUAAUUUGAAAUAAUAAAUCCUCACUUACAACACCUUUGAAAUGGCAAUCUACAAAAAAGCUUCUUACUUUUUUUGGAAGCACAUCUUGCCAUUUGAUGUACAAGAAACAGAGAAGUGCGGCACAUUUUUUCGAAACAUUU
ensembl:ncRNA T05G5.14 ncRNA